rnacentral:rRNA from 1 species
AGCGAACGCUGGCGGCGUGCUUGACACAUGCAAGUCGAACGGUAAGGCCCUUCGGGGUACACGAGUGGCGAACGGGUGAGUAACACGUGGGUGAUCUGCCCUGCACUUCGGGAUAAGCCUGGGAAACUGGGUCUAAUACCGGAUAGGACCACUGCCUGCAUGGGUGGUGGUGGAAAGCUUUUGCGGUGUGGGAUGGGCCCGCGGCCUAUCAGCUUGUUGGUGGGGUGAUGGCCUACCAAGGCGACGACGGGUAGCCGGCCUGAGAGGGUGACCGGCCACACUGGGACUGAGAUACGGCCCAGACUCCUACGGGAGGCAGCAGUGGGGAAUAUUGCACAAUGGGCGCAAGCCUGAUGCAGCGACGCCGCGUGAGGGAUGACGGCCUUCGGGUUGUAAACCUCUUUCAGCACCGACGAAGCGCAAGUGACGGUAGGUGCAGAAGAAGGACCGGCCAACUACGUGCCAGCCGCCGCAGUAA